rnacentral:rRNA from 1 species
AAAACGACUCUCGGCAACGGAUAUCUCGGCUCUCGCAUCGAUGAAGAACGUAGCGAAAUGCGAUACUUGGUGUGAAUUGCAGAAUCCCGUGAACCACCGAGUCUUUGAACGCAAGUUGCGCCCGAGGCCAUUAGGCCGAGGGCACGUCUGCCUGGGUGUCACGC